rnacentral:rRNA from 1 species
AACGAACGGUGGCGGCGUGGAUAAGACAUGCAAGUCGAACGGGAUCUUAAUUGUAGCAAUACAGUUGAGGUUCAGUGGCGCAAGGGUGCGUAACACGUGGGCAAUCUGCCCGGGAGCGCGGGAUAGCUCGGCGAAAGUCGAAUUAAUACCGCAUGUGGCUAUUGGAGGAUUCUCCGAGACGCUAAAGUUGGUGAAAGCUAACACUACUGGAUGAGCCCGCGGCCUAUCAGCUAGUUGGUGAGGUAAAGGCUCACCAAGGCUAUGACGGGUAGCUGGUCUGAGAGGACGACCAGCCACACUGGAACUGAGACACGGUCCAGACACCUACGGGUGGCAGCAGUCGAGAAUUUUUCUCAAUGGGGGAAACCCUGAAGGAGCGACGCCGCGUGGAGGAUGAAGGUUUUCGGAUUGUAAACUCCUGUCAUUUGGGAACAAUAGAUCAGUUUAACUGGCUGAUUCUUGAUAGUACCAGAAGAGGAAGAGACGGCUAACUCUGUGCCAGCAGCCGCCGUAA